GAUGAAGAACGUAGCGAAAUGCGAUAAGUAAUGUGAAUUGCAGAAUUUAGUGAAUCAUCGAAUCUUUGAACGCACAUUGCGCCCCCUGGUAUUCCGGGGGGCAUGCCUGUCCGAGCGUCAUUACAACCCUCAAGCUCAGCUUGGUGUUGGGCCCCGCCGCCCCGGCGGGCCCUAAAGUCAGUGGCGGUGCCGUCCGGCUCCGAGCGUAGUAAUUCUUCUCGCUCUGGAGGUCCGGUCGUGUGCUCGCCAGCAACCCCCAAUUUUUUUCAGGUUGACCUCGGAUCAGGUAGGGAUACCCGCUGAACUUAAGCAUAUCAAUAAGCGGAGGA
rnacentral:misc_RNA from 1 species